GACGAACGCUGGCGGCGUGCUUAACACAUGCAAGUCGAACGGAAAGGCCCUGCUUUUGUGGGGUGCUCGAGUGGCGAACGGGUGAGUAACACGUGAGUAACCUGCCCUUGACUUUGGGAUAACUUCAGGAAACUGGGGCUAAUACCGGAUAGGAGCUCCUGCUGCAUGGUGGGGGUUGGAAAGUUUCGGCGGUUGGGGAUGGACUCGCGGCUUAUCAGCUUGUUGGUGGGGUAGUGGCUUACCAAGGCUUUGACGGGUAGCCGGCCUGAGAGGGUGACCGGCCACAUUGGGACUGAGAUACGGCCCAGACUCCUACGGGAGGCAGCAGUGGGGAAUAUUGCACAAUGUGAGGAAGCCUGAUGCAGCAACGCCGCGUGCGGGAUGACGGCCUUCGGGUUGUAAACCGCUUUCGCCUGUGACGAAGCGUGAGUGACGGUAAUGGGUAAAGAAGCACCGGCUAACUACGUG
rnacentral:rRNA from 1 species